ensembl:lncRNA
CGUUGGGGCCGGGACCACCACCCGCUGCAGGGUGCCUUCUCCCUGGAGCGCCUCGGCAACGCCCCCGCAGCUCUCCUGCAAGAUCAGCAUACUGCAGGUCAAAGGUCGAGGGCAUAUCCUCCAGGUGUACACGCCGGCGGCGGAGCAGAGUGAAAAGGGACCGAUUCCUCUCUUCCCACUGUCCCCUCAACUCCGAGUCAGGGUCCAAUGCCUUCAAGAUCCCCCCGUCCAUCCAUCAGUGCAUCUGUGUCACCUUUGACUCGGCCAACUCCAAGGGCAAGGACUGUCAACUGCUCCAACACCACGUACACUGGUAGACAGCGGUCAUCCUCAGCCUGUGGGAGACCCAGCACCAGACCUGGGGGAGGUGGACUCCCUGGCCUGUGCUCUGGAGGAGAUCGACAGGGCCCCGUCACCCGGGAUAUUCACCCCACUGGGGCAGGGCAGCGACCGGCCAAACUCUGGAUUCUCUUAAACACAAAACGCCUUUUUGGAGUUCACGUCGGGAGGACAAGGACCCAGACCUCUGUAGGGGACUUGUAAGUUGCAUGAGCUCUGGUGACGAUCCUGUGUUGGAGCUACAGGAUGAUGAGGAGGAAGAAGAGGAGCAGUUGCAGUGGUAGUGGCGCCCGUCUAUAAGUUCCACCCAGAGGGGGGGGGCGGUCGAGGAGGAGGAACACCACCCAGAGGAAGACAAGGGUCAGACAGAGAAGGAGAUCCUGGAGGCUUUGUUCCGCCUGUGGUGUCGGUCAUUCCGAUCCACGCAGCGCAGCCACAGGGAACAGCUCGGAGGAAGAGAAGGAAUGCUGAGGUUCUUCACU